rnacentral:tRNA from 1 species
GGGGCCGUAGCCUAGCCAGGAAGGGCGGCGGGCUCCAGACUCGCCGGUCGUGCGUUCAAAUCGCACCGGCCCCA